GUCUCCCUGAGCAAAGUAUGAAUUGGAACCAGUUUGAGGGAGUGAUGGGACUGAAAAGUCGGCCUUCCUGGUACACUUAUGUAGACAGAAAUGUCUGCGUAGACAAUUGAAUCUUUGUUUCAGGCUAUUUCUUAUCGCUUUGAUCUCCAUCAUGAUCGUGGCGGUAGGGAAACUUUCACUACAUUUACCUUUUUUGCUAGUUGACUUUUUAUAUGUGUUGUCUUGCGAAAGCAUGGUGGCACACGUUUAUUAAUUGAACGUUAAAAAAUACAACUCUUAGCAAUGGAUAUCUUGGUUCUCGCAACGAUGAAGAACGCAGCGAAAUGCGAUACGUAAUGCGAAUUGCAGAAUUCAGUGAAUCAUCAAAUCUUUGAACGCAAAUUGCGCUCUUGGGUAGCCCUAGGAGCACGCCUCUCUCAGUAUCGGUUCAACAAUCUCUCAGCAGCGUAUAGCAAUAUGCGUGAUGGCUGGAUAAUGAGAGUCUGAGUCUAACUCAGUCUCUUUAAAUUCAUGGAGUGAACAUGACUAGCGAUCAAUUCUUUGCUUCGGCAGGGAUAGUCUGUCUCGGACUGUUGUUCAUUAGUGACGUGAAUACUGGCCUUCGUGGUCUCCUUUUUACGUUUAUCUCUU
rnacentral:rRNA from 1 species